rnacentral:rRNA from 1 species
GACGAACGCUGGCGGCGUGCCUAAUACAUGCAAGUCGAACGCAGUGGGUACGGGUGAGUAACACGUGGGUAACCUCCCAUCAGAGGGGAUAACACUUGGAAACAGGUGCUAAACCGAUACUGAUGGAUGGACCCGCGGUGCAUUAGCUAGUUGGUGAGGUAACGGCUCACCAAGGCCACGAUCCAUAGCCGACCUGAGAGGGUGAUCGGCCACACUGGGACUGAGACACGGCCCAGACUCCUACGGGAGGCAGCAGUGGGGAAUAUUCGGCAAUGGACGCAAGUCUGACCCAGCCACGCCGCGUGUGUGAAGAAGGUUUUCGGAUCGUAAAACUCUGUUGGUAGAGAAGCGGUACCUAAAGAGAAAGCCACGGCUAACUACGUGCCAGCCGCCGCGGUAAUUC